GAUGAACGCUAGCGGGAGGCCUAACACAUGCAAGCCGAGCGGUAGAGAUUCUUCGGAAUCUUGAGAGCGGCGUACGGGUGCGGAACACGUGUGCAACCUGCCUUUAUCAGGGGGAUAGCCUUUCGAAAGGAAGAUUAAUACCCCAUAAUAUAUUAAGUGGCAUCACUUGAUAUUGAAAACUCCGGUGGAUAAAGAUGGGCACGCGCAAGAUUAGAUAGUUGGUAGGGUAACGGCCUACCAAGUCAGUGAUCUUUAGGGGGCCUGAGAGGGUGAUCCCCCACACUGGUACUGAGACACGGACCAGACUCCUACGGGAGGCAGCAGUGAGGAAUAUUGGACAAUGGGUGAGAGCCUGAUCCAGCCAUCCCGCGUGAAGGAUGACGGCCCUAUGGGUUGUAAACUUCUUUUGUAUAGGGAUAAACCUUUCCACGUGUGGAAAGCUGAGGUACUAUACGAAUAAGCACCGGCUAACUCCGUGCCAGCAGCCGCGGUAAUACGGAGGGUGCAAGCGUUAUCCGGAUUUAUUGGGUUUAAAGGGUCCGUAGGCGGAUCUGUAAGUCAGUGGUGAAAUCUCACAGCUUAACUGUGAAACUGCCAUUGAUACUGCAGGUCUUGAGUAAGGUAGAAGUAGCUGGAAUAAGUAGUGUAGCGGUGAAAUGCAUAGAUAUUACUUAGAACACCAAUUGCGAAGGCAGGUUACUAUGUCUUAACUGACGCUGAUGGACGAAAGCGUGGGGAGCGAACAGGAUUAGAUACCCUGGUAGUCCACGCCGUAAACGAUGCUAACUCGUUUUUGGGUCUUCGGAUUCAGAGACUAAGCGAAAGUGAUAAGUUAGCCACCUGGGGAGUACGUUCGCAAGAAUGAAACUCAAAGGAAUUGACGGGGGCCCGCACAAGCGGUGGAUUAUGUGGUUUAAUUCGAUGAUACGCGAGGAACCUUACCAAGGCUUAAAUGGGAAUUGAUCGGUUUAGAAAUAGACCUUCCUUCGGGCAAUUUUCAAGGUGCUGCAUGGUUGUCGUCAGCUCGUGCCGUGAGGUGUUAGGUUAAGUCCUGCAACGAGCGCAACCCCUGUCACUAGUUGCUACCAUUAAGUUGAGGACUCUAGUGAGACUGCCUACGCAAGUAGAGAGGAAGGUGGGGAUGACGUCAAAUCAUCACGGCCCUUACGCCUUGGGCCACACACGUAAUACAAUGGCCGGUACAGAGGGCAGCUACACAGCGAUGUGAUGCAAAUCUCGAAAGCCGGUCUCAGUUCGGAUUGGAGUCUGCAACUCGACUCUAUGAAGCUGGAAUCGCUAGUAAUCGCGCAUCAGCCAUGGCGCGGUGAAUACGUUCCCGGGCCUU
rnacentral:rRNA from 1 species